rnacentral:piRNA from 1 species
UCCUUACUUGAAACAGCCAGAUAUGGGAAAC